rnacentral:lncRNA from 1 species
UCUAAUGGCAUCCAUUACAGGAAGCUCCAUGUCCCUUCUCCCAAACCAAUCUAUGGUAGUAUGUAUUACUACUAAUCACCAGUUUUCAUUUUCUUGAUCCUUUCACUCAUUCAUUACUUAAACAUUGUUUAUUGGAUCUGUUAAAUCAAAUUUUGUCAUGUUGGUCAAAUGAAAGAUUUGAUUUUUAUAUGAUUUUGUCAUGUUGCAGAUUCCAUGAACAAAUCUCUCUCCAACUAUUCAAUUUCACUUUC